UACGUAGGGUGCAAGCGUUGUCCGGAAUUAUUGGGCGUAAAGAGCUCGUAGGCGGUUUGUUGCGUCGGCUGUGAAAACCUGAGGCUCAACCUCAGGCCUGCAGUCGAUACGAGCAGACUAGAGUGUUGUAGGGGAGAUUGGAAUUCCUGGUGUAGCGGUGGAAUGCGCAGAUAUCAGGAGGAACACCAAUAGCGAAGGCAGCUCGCUGGGACGUUACUGACACUGAGGCGCGAAAGCGUGGGGGAGCGAACAGG
rnacentral:rRNA from 1 species